AAAGCAUCUGUCAUAUGCAAGGUGUCAUGUUAGUAUAUGCAUGUGUAUGUAUGUAUGUACAUAUGCAUACACACAACCAUAUAUAAG
rnacentral:miRNA from 1 species